UGUUUCUGUCCUAAAGGACAAGCUUUAAACAGUGAUUUGAGAACCUAUGUAGACUUGUGCAGCUCUAGUUCCUGUAGUGAUCUGUGCAGUGAAACACCUGACAAUACAAGUGUUAUAUGUUCCUGCCCUCCUGGUAAAUCUUUGGCUGCCAAUGGAAUUAUUUGCCAGUCUUGUUCAAGUGGUACAUUGGGAGAUAACUGUGCCAACCAGUGCAGCUGUUCUCCUACUACCACACAGAGUUGUAGNNNNNCCCCC
rnacentral:sRNA from 1 species